CACCCGGUGAAAACCAACUCUAACAGUUCCUGCGAUUUUCACCUAAUUAAAAGAGUAAAAUCCCCACUCCCAGAUGUCAUCGGUCAUAUUGUCCAAUUAGGAUGGAUGGCAGGCUCGUCUCCUCCUUCAACAGCCACCUGUUAUGAUGACCUUGGUUUCCAUAGGAAAACUUUUUGUUUCGACCGUUAACCGCAGUGGAAGUAUGAAAAACAAUGCUCAAUGGAAUGAUGAAGGGAAAAGAGGCUAUCGAUCAGGAAAAUGCAUAUAAGAGAAUGAAGCAAGAAAUCAAGGAUCAAGAUCCAACCAUUAACAAUAAAAGGACAAGCAGUCAAGAAAUGAGCCACAGACCAGAACUUGGUAAAGCAACUACGAAGACCUCAGAAUAAAUAUUUGGAUACUGGGA